UACAGAGACUGCAAGCGUUAUUCGGAUUCACUGGGCGUAAAGGGUGCGCAGGCGGUUGGGUGUGUCAGAUGUGAAAUCCCUAGGCUUAACCUAGGAACUGCGUCGGAUACUGGAUGGCUUGAAUCCGGGAGAGGGAUGCGGAAUUCCAGGUGUAGCGGUGAAAUGCGUAGAUAUCUGGAGGAACACCGGUGGCGAAGGCGGCAUCCUGGACCGGUAUUGACACUGAAAAGCGAAAGCCAGGGGAGCAAACGGG
rnacentral:rRNA from 1 species